rnacentral:rRNA from 1 species
CCUACGGGAGGCAGCAGUGGGGGAUAUUGCACAAUGGGGGAAACCCUGAUGCAGCGACGCCGCGUGUGGGAAGACGGUCCUCUGGAUUGUAAACCACUGUCCCCAGGGACGAAGAUGACGGUACCUGGGGAGGAAGCUCCGGCUAACUACGUGCCAGCAGCCGCGGUAAUACGUAGGGAGCGAGCGUUGUCCGGAAUUACUGGGUGAAAAGGGAGCAUAGGCGGGACUGCAAGUUGGGUGUCAAAUCUACCGGCUCAACCGGUAGCCGCACUCAAAACUGCAGUUCUUGAGUGAAGUAGAGGCAGGCGGAAUGCCUAGUGUAGCGGUGAAAUGCGUAGAUAUUAGGAGGAACACCAGUGGCGAAGGCGGCCUGCUGGGCUUUUACUGACGCUGAGGCUCGAAAGUGUGGGGAGCAAACAGGAUUAGAUACCCGAGUAGUC